GUCGAGGGGUAGAAGUCUUCGGACUUUGAGACCGGCGCACGGGUGCGUAACGCGUAUGCAAUCUGCCUUACACUAAGGGAUAGCCCAGAGAAAUUUGGAUUAAUACCUUAUAGUAUAUUGAUGUGGCCUCACAUUAUUAUUAAAGAUUUAUCGGUGUAAGAUGAGCAUGCGUCCCAUUAGCUAGUUGGUAUGGUAACGGCAUACCAAGGCUAUGAUGGGUAGGGGUCCUGAGAGGGAGAUCCCCCACACUGGUACUGAGACACGGACCAGACUCCUACGGGAGGCAGCAGUGAGGAAUAUUGGUCAAUGGGCGCAAGCCUGAACCAGCCAUGCCGCGUGCAGGAUGAAGCAUCUAUGGUGUGUAAACUGCUUUUGUACGGGAAGAAACACCUCUACGUGUAGAGGCUUGACGGUACCGUAAGAAUAAGGAUCGGCUAACUCCGUGCCAGCAGCCGCGGUAAUACGGAGGAUCCAAGCGUUAUCCGGAAUCAUUGGGUUUAAAGGGUCCGUAGGCGGUUUUGUAAGUCAGUGGUGAAAUCCGGCAGCUCAACUGUCGAACUGCCAUUGAUACUGCAGGACUUGAAUUAUUGUGAAGUAACUAGAAUAUGUAGUGUAGCGGUGAAAUGCUUAGAUAUUACAUGGAAUACCCAUUGCGAAGGCAGGUUACUAACAAUGGAUUGACGCUGAUGGACGAAAGCGUGGGGAGCGAACAGGAUUAGAUACCCUGGUAGUCCACGCCGUAAACGAUGGAUACUAGCUGUUCGGAAGCAAUUCUGAGUGGCUAAGCGAAAGUGAUAAGUAUCCCACCUGGGGAGUACGGGCGCAAGCCUGAAACUCAAAGGAAUUGACGGGGGCCCGCACAAGCGGUGGAGCAUGUGGUUUAAUUCGAUGAUACGCGAGGAACCUUACCAGGGCUUAAAUGUAGUGGGACAGGCUUGGAAACAGGCCCUUCUUCGGACUCAUUACAAGGUGCUGCAUGGUUGUCGUCAGCUCGUGCCGUGAGGUGUCAGGUUAAGUCCUAUAACGAGCGCAACCCCUGUUGUUAGUUGCCAGCGAGUGAUGUCGGGAACUCUAACAAGACUGCCGGUGCAAACCGUGAGGAAGGUGGGGAUGACGUCAAAUCAUCACGGCCCUUACGUCCUGGGCUACACACGUGCUACAAUGGCCGGUACAGAGAGCAGCCACUGGGCGACCAGGAGCGAAUCUAUAAAGCCGGUCACAGUUCGGAUCGGAGUCUGCAACCCGACUCCGUGAAGCUGGAAUCGCUAGUAAUCGGAUAU
rnacentral:rRNA from 1 species